rnacentral:miRNA from 1 species
CCUGAAACAUUGACUCUGGAC